AAGAAGAAGAAUCGAUUCUCGUUACAAAAUCAUAUCGAUUAACCAAAAACUUCUUACGUUUCAGAUGUGUCGGAAACACGAGAUCGAAAAAAGGGGGAAAAAGAAAAAAAAAGAAUACCACAGCGGCGGCCAACCUGUUGUGUGCACGGGAGACAUUUGGUCUGUCCGUAAAAUGCGGGUGUAACGACUCUUAAAUUGAAGGAAGGAAGGAAGAAACAGACAUAAACAUCCCAUACAGGAAGAAAUCACUAAUAAUUCAACUAAUACCACCGACUUAGCGACAGCUACGUGUAUUAAUCGACGCAAGCGCAGCUUCCUUUAUGGCCGCGACGUACAGUGGUGCGAUGUUCAAUCUGGAAUCUGGAAAAAAAGAAAU